rnacentral:rRNA from 1 species
CGGACGGGUGAGUAACGCGUGGGUAACCUGCCUUACACAGGGGGAUAACACUUAGAAAUAGGUGCUAAUACCGCAUAAGCGCACAGCUUCGCAUGAAGCAGUGUGAAAAACUCCGGUGGUAUACGAUGGAUCCGCGUCUGAUUAGCUGGUUGGCGGGGUAACAGCCCACCAAGGCGACGAUCAGUAGCCGGCCUGAGAGGGUGAACGGCCACAUUGGGACUGAGACACGGCCCAAACUCCUACGGGAGGCAGCAG